rnacentral:rRNA from 1 species
GGUUAAGCGACUAAGCGUACACGGUGGAUGCCCUGGCAGUCAGAGGCGAUGAAGGACGUGCUAAUCUGCGAUAAGCGUCGGUAAGGUGAUAUGAACCGUUAUAACCGGCGAUUUCCGAAUGGGGAAACCCAGUGUGUUUCGACACACUAUCAUUAACUGAAUCCAUAGGUUAAUGAGGCGAACCGGGGGAACUGAAACAUCUAAGUACCCCGAGGAAAAGAAAUCAACCGAGAUUCCCCCAGUAGCGGCGAGCGAACGGGGAGGAGCCCAGAGCCUGAAUCAGUGUGUGUGUUAGUGGAAGCGUCUGGAAAGGCGCGCGAUACAGGGUGACAGCCCCGUACACAAAAAUGCACAUGCUGUGAGCUCGAUGAGUAGGGCGGGACACGUGGUAUCCUGUCUGAAUAUGGGGGGACCAUCCUCCAAGGCUAAAUACUCCUGACUGACCGAUAGUGAACCAGUACCGUGAGGGAAAGGCGAAAAGAACCCCGGCGAGGGGAGUGAAAAAGAACCUGAAACCGUGUACGUACAAGCAGUGGGAGCCUCUUUUAUGGGGUGACUGCGUACCUUUUGUAUAAUGGGUCAGCGACUUAUAUUCUGUAGCAAGGUUAACCGAAUAGGGGAGCCGAAGGGAAACCGAGUCUUAACUGGGCGUUAAGUUGCAGGGUAUAGACCCGAAACCCGGUGAUCUAGCCAUGGGCAGGUUGAAGGUUGGGUAACACUAACUGGAGGACCGAACCGACUAAUGUUGAAAAAUUAGCGGAUGACUUGUGGCUGGGGGUGAAAGGCCAAUCAAACCGGGAGAUAGCUGGUUCUCCCCGAAAGCUAUUUAGGUAGCGCCUCGUGAAUUCAUCUCCGGGGGUAGAGCACUGUUUCGGCAAGGGGGUCAUCCCGACUUACCAACCCGAUGCAAACUGCGAAUACCGGAGAAUGUUAUCACGGGAGACACACGGCGGGUGCUAACGUCCGUCGUGAAGAGGGAAACAACCCAGACCGCCAGCUAAGGUCCCAAAGUCAUGGUUAAGUGGGAAACGAUGUGGGAAGGCCCAGACAGCCAGGAUGUUGGCUUAGAAGCAGCCAUCAUUUAAAGAAAGCGUAAUAGCUCACUGGUCGAGUCGGCCUGCGCGGAAGAUGUAACGGGGCUAAACCAUGCACCGAAGCUGCGGCAGCGACGCUUAUGCGUUGUUGGGUAGGGGAGCGUUCUGUAAGCCUGUGAAGGUGUGCUGUGAGGCAUGCUGGAGGUAUCAGAAGUGCGAAUGCUGACAUAAGUAACGAUAAAGCGGGUGAAAAGCCCGCUCGCCGGAAGACCAAGGGUUCCUGUCCAACGUUAAUCGGGGCAGGGUGAGUCGACCCCUAAGGCGAGGCCGAAAGGCGUAGUCGAUGGGAAACAGGUUAAUAUUCCUGUACUUGGUGUUACUGCGAAGGGGGGACGGAGAAGGCUAUGUUGGCCGGGCGACGGUUGUCCCGGUUUAAGCGUGUAGGCUGGUUUUCCAGGCAAAUCCGGAAAAUCAAGGCUGAGGCGUGAUGACGAGGCACUACGGUGCUGAAGCAACAAAUGCCCUGCUUCCAGGAAAAGCCUCUAAGCAUCAGGUAACAUCAAAUCGUACCCCAAACCGACACAGGUGGUCAGGUAGAGAAUACCAAGGCGCUUGAGAGAACUCGGGUGAAGGAACUAGGCAAAAUGGUGCCGUAACUUCGGGAGAAGGCACGCUGAUAUGUAGGUGAAGCGACUUGCUCGUGGAGCUGAAAUCAGUCGAAGAUACCAGCUGGCUGCAACUGUUUAUUAAAAACACAGCACUGUGCAAACACGAAAGUGGACGUAUACGGUGUGACGCCUGCCCGGUGCCGGAAGGUUAAUUGAUGGGGUCAGCGCAAGCGAAGCUCUUGAUCGAAGCCCCGGUAAACGGCGGCCGUAACUAUAACGGUCCUAAGGUAGCGAAAUUCCUUGUCGGGUAAGUUCCGACCUGCACGAAUGGCGUAAUGAUGGCCAGGCUGUCUCCACCCGAGACUCAGUGAAAUUGAACUCGCUGUGAAGAUGCAGUGUACCCGCGGCAAGACGGAAAGACCCCGUGAACCUUUACUAUAGCUUGACACUGAACAUUGAGCCUUGAUGUGUAGGAUAGGUGGGAGGCUUAGAAGUGUGGACGCCAGUCUGCAUGGAGCCGACCUUGAAAUACCACCCUUUAAUGUUUGAUGUUCUAACGUUGACCCGUAAUCCGGGUUGCGGACAGUGUCUGGUGGGUAGUUUGACUGGGGCGGUCUCCUCCUAAAGAGUAACGGAGGAGCACGAAGGUUGGCUAAUCCUGGUCGGACAUCAGGAGGUUAGUGCAAUGGCAUAAGCCAGCUUGACUGCGAGCGUGACGGCGCGAGCAGGUGCGAAAGCAGGUCAUAGUGAUCCGGUGGUUCUGAAUGGAAGGGCCAUCGCUCAACGGAUAAAAGGUACUCCGGGGAUAACAGGCUGAUACCGCCCAAGAGUUCAUAUCGACGGCGGUGUUUGGCACCUCGAUGUCGGCUCAUCACAUCCUGGGGCUGAAGUAGGUCCCAAGGGUAUGGCUGUUCGCCAUUUAAAGUGGUACGCGAGCUGGGUUUAGAACGUCGUGAGACAGUUCGGUCCCUAUCUGCCGUGGGCGCUGGAGAACUGAGGGGGGCUGCUCCUAGUACGAGAGGACCGGAGUGGACGCAUCACUGGUGUUCGGGUUGUCAUGCCAAUGGCACUGCCCGGUAGCUAAAUGCGGAAGAGAUAAGUGCUGAAAGCAUCUAAGCACGAAACUUGCCCCGAGAUGAGUUCUCCCUGACUCCUUGAGAGUCCUGAAGGAACGUUGAAGACGACGACGUUGAUAGGCCGGGUGUGUAAGCGCAGCGAUGCGUUGAGCUAACCGGUACUAAUGAACCGUGAGGCUUAACCUU